GUUUAAAUUGAUGGUUGGCGGAAGGAUGGUCUAAACUGUUGGUUUUCGACCGCUACAACCCGGGUUCGAUUCCCGCAUUGAACA